AAAGGCGCGCGAUACAGGGUGACAGCCCCGUACACAAAAGCGCAUGUGCUGUGAGCUCGAUGAGUAGGGCGGGACACGUGGUAUCCUGUCUGAAUAUGGGGGGACCAUCCUCCAAGGCUAAAUACUCCUGACUGACCGAUAGUGAACCAGUACCGUGAGGGAAAGGCGAAAAGAACCCCGGCGAGGGGAGUGAAAAAGAACCUGAAACCGUGUACGUACAAGCAGUGGGAGCCCCACCACUAAGCCAGUGGUGAACUCCACAUACGCAUCCUUUGCUGAGGAUACGGUUAACGGAGCGAAAGCGACGUUCAACCUCAAAAGAAGCAGAGGGGGCUUAGUGGUGGGGUGACUGCGUACCUUUUGUAUAAUGGGUCAGCGACUUAUAUUCUGUAGCAAGGUUAACCGAAUAGGGGAGCCGGAGGGAAACCGAGUCUUAACCGGGCGUUAAGUUGCAGGGUAUAGACCCGAAACCCGGUGAUCUAGCCAUGGGCAGGUUGAAGGUUGGGUAACACUAACUGGAGGACCGAACCGACUAAUGUUGAAAAAUUAGCGGAUGACCUGUGGCUGGGGGUGAAAGGCCAAUCAAACCGGGAGAUAGCUGGUUCUCCCCGAAAGCUAUUUAGGUAGCGCCUCGUGAAUUCAUCUCCGGGGGUAGAGCACUGUUUCGGCUAGGGGGCCAUCCCGGCUUACCAACCCGAUGCAAACUGCGAAUACCGGAGAAUGUUAUCACGGGAGACACACGGCGGGUGCUAACGUCCGUCGUGAAGAGGGAAACAACCCAGACCGCCAGCUAAGGUCCCAAAGUCAUGGUUAAGUGGGAAACGAUGUGGGAAGGCCCAGACAGCCAGGAUGUUGGCUUAGAAGCAGCCAUCAUUUAAAGAAAGCGUAAUAGCUCACUGGUCGAGUCGGCCUGCGCGGAAGAUGUAACGGGGCUAAACCAUGCACCGAAGCUGCGGCAGCGACGCUGAUGCGUUGUUGGGUAGGGGAGCGUUCUGUAAGCCUGCGAAGGUGGCCUGUGAGGGUUGCUGGAGGUAUCAGAAGUGCGAAUGCUGACAUAAGUAACGAUAAAGCGGGUGAAAAGCCCGCUCGCCGGAAGACCAAGGGUUCCUGUCCAACGUUAAUCGGGGCAGGGUGAGUCGACCCCUAAGGCGAGGCCGAAAGGCGUAGUCGAUGGGAAACGGGUUAAUAUUCCCGUACUUGGUGUUACUGCGAAGGGGGGACGGAGAAGGCUAUGUUGGCCGGGCGACGGUUGUCCCGGUUUAAGCGUGUAGGUGUGUGUUCCAGGUAAAUCCGGUUCACUUUAACACUGAGGCGUGAUGACGAGGCACUACGGUGCUGAAGCAACAAAUGCCCUGCUUCCAGGAAAAGCCUCUAAGCAUCAGGUAACAUCAAAUCGUACCCCAAACCGACACAGGUGGUCAGGUAGAGAAUACCAAGGCGCUUGAGAGAACUCGGGUGAAGGAACUAGGCAAAAUGGUGCCGUAACU
rnacentral:rRNA from 1 species